UACGAGGGGGGCAAGCGUUGUUCGGAAUUAUUGGGCGUAAAGGGUGCGUAGGCGGUCUGACAAGUCUGAUGUGAAAUCUAUGGGCUCAACCCAUAGUCUGCAUCGGAAACUGUCGGGCUUGAGGAUGAGAGAGGUGAGUGGAAUUCCCAGUGUAGAGGUGAAAUUCGUAGAUAUUGGGAAGAACACCGGUGGCGAAGGCGGCUCACUGGCUCAUUUCUGACGCUCAGGCGCGACAGCGUGGGGAUCGAAACAAGG
rnacentral:rRNA from 1 species